ensembl:lincRNA
AUGCCAGCACCAGAUCUCUCUUCGGAAGGAGGAGCGGGGCGGGCUACACGGCCAGACGGGCCCUCCCCUUCAGGCCGGGUGGGCCGCGCGCUUGCGAUUUUCCGUCCGUGGUCCCGGGGCAGCCCGGGCCAGCCCAGGAGAACCCGCGAGCCCAGCGGCGCCUGCACCUGCGGCUUCCGGGAGCCGGGCGGCCCCCGCGGUGCAGGCGCGCGCCUAACGGCUUUGCGAGGCUCACUAGGUCUGAGAGGUCGGAGGCCGCCAGUGUCGCUGCUGAAGGGUGGACCAGGCGGGAUCGCGGAUUCUGGGCUACAUCGCAGACUUGCCGCAGGGGCCGGCGGUCCGGGGCUCCCUAGGCCACGUCUACAGGGGUUCGGGGUACCGAAUCGGAAGAUCCACAGGGCGCUGUCAAGGGCGAAGCCGCGGAAGUGGAUCGCUGCCUGGCGUGCAGGAGCAGAGACCUGGAAGCCGGGGACACGCAGCACAGGCAGUGGGGAGGUGCCUAAUGAGAGAACUGAUUCCGUGAGUCGGCCGGGCGCGGUGGCUCAGGCCUGUAAUCCCAGCACUUUGGGAGGCCAAGGCGGGCGGAUCACGAGGUCAAGAGAUCGAGACCAUCCUGGGUAACACGGAGAAACCCCGUCUCUACUAAAAAUAAAAAAUAAAAAUAAAAAUAAAAAUAAAAAAAUUAGCCGAGCGUGGUGGCGGGCGCCUGUAGUCCCAGCUACUCGGGAGGCUGAGGCAGGAGAAUGGCGUGAACCCGGGAGGCGGAGUUUGCAGUGAGCCGAGAUCGCGCCAUUGCACUCCAGCCUGGGCGACAGAGUGAGACUCCGUCUCCAAAAAAGAAAAAAAAACAAAACAAAAAACAAACAAAAAAAAACCGUGAGUCAUUUUCAGUAGCGAAAAGCUCUCACCUAAAACUGUCCGUUUUACAUCCGUAUCCACCUGUGUAGAUCGGUUCUUUACUGAAGGUUCUUAGAAGGAAACUUGGAAGUGGGAGGUGGGUUCUGUGUUCCUGAAUGGGAAGACACGUUUUUCUCACAAUGUGAGCUCUUUCUGUGAUUAUCAAUUUUACAUAAGCCGAAUGAAAAAAUCAAGGUUUUAACAUUUUUGCGUGACACCUACUGUCUUUUACUAUUGUAAUGACAUUUGUAAAAAUUUUAGGGCUGGGCGCGGUGGCUCACGCCUGUAAUCCCAGCACUUUGGGAGGCCGAGGUGGGCGGAUCACGAGGUCAGGAGAUUGAGACCAUCCUGGCGAACACGGUGAAACCCUGUCUGUACUAAAAAUACAAAAAAAUAAUGAUAAUAAUAAUAAUAAUAGCCGGGCGUGUUGAUGGGCGCCCAUAGUCCCAGCUACUCCGGAGGCUGAGGCAGGAGAAUGGCGUGAACCCGGGAGGGGGAGCUUGCAGUGAGCCGCGAUCCAAACGUGCUGGGAUUACAGCUGUGAGCCACCGCGCCCGGGCUGAAAAGUGCAUCUUCGUUUUACAGGGAAUUCUUUCAAAUCAAAUAAUCAAAAACUCUAAAAGCGGGCAAAGUACUUCUUUGCAGAUCUACAAGUUUCUUUCUUUUUUUUUUUAAAUAACGGAAAACUUUUGAAGUUUAUUCAAUGAUUAAAAGAACUUAAAAAUAAAGAACUUAUUUGUGUAGAGGAAGGCUUUUUCUUGGCACAGUUAUUAAAAUUCUCUGGAAUAGAUUUCAAUUUUUUUCUUUUCUUUUUUUUUCCCAUUUUUCUCCAGUGAUUUUUAUUAUUAUUAUUAUUAUACUUUAAGUUUUAGGGUACAUGUGCACAUUGUGCAGGUUAGUUACAUAUGUAUACAUGUGCCAUGCUGGUGUGCUGCACCCACUAACUGGUCAUCUAGCAUUAGGUAUAUCUCCCAAUGCUACCCCUCCCCUCUGCCCCCGCCCCACAACAGUCCCCAGAGUGUGAUAUUCCCCUUCCUGUGUCCAUGUGAUCUCAUUGUUCAAUUCCCACCUAUGAGUGAGAAUAUGCGGUGUUUGGUUUUUUGUUCUUGCGAUAGUUUACUGAGAAUGAUGAUUUCCAAUUUCAUCCAUGUCCCUACAAAGGACGUGAACUCAUCAUUUUUUAUGGCUGCACAGUAUUCCAUGGUGUAUAUGUGCCACAUUUUCUUAAUCCAGUCUAUCAUUGUUGGACAUUUGGGUUGGUUCCAAGUCUUUGCUAUUGUGAAUAAUGCCGCAAUAAACAUACGUGUGCAUGUGUCUUUAUAGCAGCAUGAUUUAUA